UUUGUGUCAAGCGUGCUAGGGCUUUGCUGCCCAUCCCUGUCCAUAUGUCAGUCUAAAUGAAUCUACUCCACCUGGUCAUAUUAAUACUCACAUUCCUCGAGGUACUGGCCGAGGAGGUGGAGUUGCGGCCAUAUUUGACUCAAACCUCUUGAUCAAUCCUAAGCCUAAACUAAACUAUAACUCUUUUGAAAGCCUUGUUCUUACGCUCUCAAACCCAACAUGGAAAACAAUAAAGCCAGUUUUAUUUGUUACUGUGUACCACCCUCCUGGUCCGUAUUCUGAAUUUCUAUCUGAAUUCUCAGAAUUUUUAUCAAAUUUAGUCCUUAAAACAGAUAAAGUAAUUAUUGUAGGUGACUUUAAUAUUCAUGUGGAUGUUGAUAGUGACAGCCUUAAUAAUGCAUUUAUCUCAAUAUUAGAUUCAAUUGGGUUCAGUCAGAAUGUACAUGAACCAACUCACUGUUUAAACCACACUCUGGACCUUGUUCUGGGAUAUGGUGUUGAAAUUGAAAGUUUAUCAGUGUGUCCACAUAAUCCUCUUUUAUCAGACCAUUUUUUAAUAACUUUUGAAGUCCUGUUACUGGACUACAAGCCAGUAGGCAAAAUAUCCUACGCUCGAUGUUUAUCUGAAAGUGCUGUGACUAAAUUUAAGGAAGUGAUUCCAUCAGCACUUAAUUCAAUACCAGGACUCAAUAUCAAUAUAACAGAGGACUCCAAUGCUAACUUUAGUCCCUCCCAAAUUAAUCAUCUUGUUGAUAGCGCUGCAGCCUCACUGCGAAUAACACUCGACUCUGUCGCUCCUCUAAAGAAGAAGAUCAUAAAACAGAAAAAGAAAGCUCCAUGGCUUAAUUUACAAAUCCGCAAACUAAAACAAAAGUCGAGAAAUCUUGAAAGUAAAUGGCGUUCCACUAAAUUGGAAGAAUCUCGUUUAGUCUGGUUAGAUCAUCUUAAAACGUAUAAGAAGGCUCUCCGUAAUGCCAGAGCAGCUUAUUACUCUUCCUUAAUAGAAGAAAAUAAGAACAAC
rnacentral:lncRNA from 1 species